rnacentral:rRNA from 1 species
AGAAUCAACGCUGGCGGCGUGCCUAACACAUGCAAGUCGAACGAGAAAGUGGAGCAAUCCAUGAGUAAAGUGGCGACCGGGUGAGUAACACGUGACUAACCUACCUUCGAGUGGGGGAUAACCUCGGGAAACCGGGGCUAAUACCGCAUAACAUCUUUGAAGUGGAAAUUUCGGAGAUCAAAGGAGCAAUUCGCUUGAAGAGGGGGUCGCGGCUGAUUAGCUAGUUGGCGGGGUAACGCCCACAAGCUUAGAUCGGUAGCCGGCCUGAGAGGGCGCACGGCCACACUGGAACUGAAACACGGUCCAGACUCCUACGGGAGGCAGCAGUGGGGAAUUUUGCGCAAUGGGGGAAACCCUGACGCAGCAACGCCGCGUGGAGGAUGAAGUCCCUUGGGACGUAAACUCCUUUCGACCCGGACGAUGAUGACGGUACGGGUGGAAGAGCCCCGGCUAACUUCGUGCCAGCAGCCGC